rnacentral:rRNA from 1 species
ACUCAAAGGAAUUGACGGGGGCCCGCACAAGCAGUGGAGUAUGUGGUUUAAUUCGAAGCAACGCGAAGAACCUUACCAGGACUUGACAUCCUACUAACGAAGCAGAGAUGCAUAAGGUGCCCUUCGGGGAAAGUAGAGACAGGUGGUGCAUGGUUGUCGUCAGCUCGUGUCGUGAGAUGUUGGGUUAAGUCCCGCAACGAGCGCAACCCUUACGUUUAGUUGCUACGCGAGAGCACUCUAGACGGACUGCCGUUGACAAAACGGAGGAAGGUGGGGACGAUGUCAAAUCAUCAUGCCCCUUAUGUCCUGGGCUACACACGUACUACAAUGGCGGACAUACAACGCGAGGCAAGACAGUGAUGUGGAGCAAAUCGCGAAAAGCCGUCCCAGUUCGGAUUGCAGGCUGCAACCCGCCUGCAUGAAGUUGGAAUUGCUAGUAAUCGCGGAUCAGCAUGCCGCGGUGAAUACGUUCCCGGGCCUUGUACACACCGCCCGU